rnacentral:rRNA from 1 species
UACGUAGGGGGCGAGCGUUGUCCGGAAUCAUUGGGCGUAAAGAGCUCGUAGGCGGCUCAGUAAGUCGGGUGUGAAACCCUCAGGCUCAACCUGGGGGCGCCACCCGAUACUGCCGUGGCUAGAGUCCAGUAGGGGAGUGUGGAAUUCCCGGUGUAGCGGUGAAAUGCGCAGAUAUCGGGAGGAACACCAGCGGCGAAGGCGGCACUCUGGGCUGGAACUGACGCUGAGGAGCGAAAGCGUGGGUAGCAAACAGG